rnacentral:rRNA from 1 species
UACGUAGGAUGCAAGCGUUGUCCGGAAUUAUUGGGCGUAAAGAGCGCGCAGGCGGUAUGACAAGUCAGAUGUGAAAGAGGCCGGCUUAACCGGCAAGGGUCAUUUGAAACUGUCAGACUAGAGUGCAGCAGAGGAUAGUAGAAUUCCUGGUGUAGUGGUGAAAUACGUAGAUAUCAGGAGGAAUACCGGUGGCGAAGGCGGCUAUCUGGCCAUGUACUGACGCUGAGAUACGAAAGCGUGGGGAGCAAACAGG